rnacentral:tRNA from 1 species
GUUAGAAAAGCUUUUAAAAGCAUUGGUCUUGUAAACCAAAGAUUGAAUGAAUUAUUCUUCUAAUA